GUAACAAGGUUUCCGUAGGUGAACCUGCGGAAGGAUCAUUAAAGAAUUGCCCCAUUUUUUGAAAUGGGUUCUAUUCCCAAACCGUGUAUACAUACCUUUGUUGCUUUGGCAAGCCGUCCUUCGGGCGCAGCUUCGGCUGAGAGCGCUUGCCAGAGGACCCCAACUCUUUNNUUUAGUGAUGUCUGAGUACUAUAUAAUAGUUAAAACUUUCAACAACGGAUCUCUUGGUUCUGGCAUCGAUGAAGAACGCAGCGAAAUGCGAUAAGUAAUGUGAAUUGCAGAAUUCAGUGAAUCAUCGAAUCUUUGAACGCACAUUGCGUCCCUUGGNAUUCCGAGGGGCAUGCCUGUUCGAGCGUCAUUAUGACCACUCAAGCCUAGCUUGGUAUUGGGGUUCGCGGUCUCGCGGCUCUUAAAAUCAGUGGCGGUGCCAUCUGCUCUAAGCGUAGUAAUUCUCUCGCUAUAGGGCUCCGGUAGUUGCUUGCCAAAACCCCCCUAUUUCUCACGGUUGACCUCGGAUCAGGUAGGGAUACCGCUGAACUUAAGCAUAUCAAUAAGCGGAGGAAAAGAAGCCAACAGGGAUUGCCUCAGUAACGGCGAGUGAAGCGGCAACAGCUCAAAUUUGAAAUCUGGCUCUUUCAGGGUCCGAGUUGUAAUUUGUAGAAGAUGCUUUGGGUGUAGCUCCGGUCUAAGUUCCUUGGAACAGGACGUCAUAGAGGGUGAGAAUCCCGUACGUGACUGGGUGCUUUCGCUCGUGUAAAGCUCUUUCGACGAGUCGAGUUGUUUGGGAAUGCAGCUCAAAAUGGGUGGUAAAUUUCAUCUAAAGCUAAAUAUUGGCCAGAGACCGAUAGCGCACAAGUAGAGUGAUCGAAAGAUGAAAAGCACUUUGGAAAGAGAGUUAAACAGUACGUGAAAUUGUUGAAAGGGAAGCGCUUGCAACCAGACUUGCAUAUUGUUGAUCAUCCGAGAUUUUUCCCGGUGCACUCGGCAGUAUUCAGGCCAGCAUCGGUUUUGGUGGGCGGAUAAAGGCCUUGGGAAUGUAGCUUCUUUCGGGGAGUGUUAUAGCCCUCGGUGCAAUGCGCCCUACCGGGACCGAGGACCGCGCUUCGGCUAGGAUGCUGGCGUAAUGGUUGUAAGCGACC
rnacentral:rRNA from 1 species